rnacentral:rRNA from 1 species
AUGACGCUGGCGGCAGGCUUACACAUGCAAGUCGAGCGGAGUGAUGGUGCUUGCACUAUCACUUAGCGGCGGACGGGUGAGUAAUGCUUAGGAAUCUGCCUAUUAGUGGGGGACAACAUCUCGAAAGGGAUGCUAAUACCGCAUACGUCCUACGGGAGAAAGCAGGGGAUCACUUGUGACCUUGCGCUAAUAGAUGAGCCUAAGUCGGAUUAGCUAGUUGGUGGGGUAAAGGCCUACCAAGGCGACGAUCUGUAGCGGGUCUGAGAGGAUGAUCCGCCACACUGGGACUGAGACACGGCCCAGACUCCUACGGGAGGCAGCAGUGGGGAAUAUUGGACAAUGGGGGGAACCCUGAUCCAGCCAUGCCGCGUGUGUGAAGAAGGCCUUAUGGUUGUAAAGCACUUUAAGCGAGGAGGAGGCUCUUUUGGUUAAUACCCAAGAUGAGUGGACGUUACUCGCAGAAUAAGCACCGGCUAACUCUGUGCCAGCAGCCGCGGUAAUACAGAGGGUGCAAGCGUUAAUCGGAUUUACUGGGCGUAAAGCGCGCGUAGGCGGCCAAUUAAGUCAAAUGUGAAAUCCCCGAGCUUAACUUGGGAAUUGCAUUCGAUACUGGUUGGCUAGAGUGUGGGAGAGGAUGGUAGAAUUCCAGGUGUAGCGGUGAAAUGCGUAGAGAUCUGGAGGAAUACCGAUGGCGAAGGCAGCCAUCUGGCCUAACACUGACGCUGAGGUGCGAAAGCAUGGGGAGCAAACAGGAUUAGAUACCCUGGUAGUCCAUGCCGUAAACGAUGUCUACUAGCCGUUGGGGCCUUUGAGGCUUUAGUGGCGCAGCUAACGCGAUAAGUAGACCGCCUGGGGAGUACGGUCGCAAGACUAAAACUCAAUGAAUUGACGGGGGCCCGCACAAGCGGUGGAGCAUGUGGUUUAAUUCGAUGCAACGCGAAGAACCUUACCUGGCCUUGACAUAGUAGAACUUUCCAGAGAUGGAUUGGUGCCUU